GCUUGUGGUCUAGUGGUAUGAUUCUUCCUUAGGGUAUUUUACUUCCCGAUCUUGGAAGAGGCCCCGUGUUCGAGUCACGGCAAGACC